AUCAAUACAUAAAGCACAUGAGGGAACACAAGCAUACAUAGAUGACAAACAAUGGACAAUCGAGCUAGGGGGUACAAUAUCACAUUACAAUUACACAAGGACCUUAAGGGACAUGCAUAUACUUACAAUUCUAACAGCUUUUUUGUUAGUAGAGCAUUUAACCGUCUUAAAAUACAGUUCAAUUUCUUUUUGUAGGAUACGAAAAUGUGGUUUUCUGUUUGUAAAUUUACAUUUGUGUAUAUGAAAUUUGGCCAAAAGAAUAAUGAAAUUAAUUACAAAAAAAUUAUUCCGCUUAUUUCUAUUGUAUGUAAAGAAUCCAAGCAGUACAUCUCUCCACAAUAGUGUAAAAUCUUCAUAAAUGUGUUCAAUUAUAAACCUACUGAUGUCUUGCCACAGUUUUCUUACAUGAAUAUAAUGCCAAAAAAGAUGCACAACUGUUUCUGGGUGGUCAUUACAAAAGGAGCCAUUUGAGUUGAUGUUUUCCUUAAACUUCUUCAUAUAGUGGUUGGCAGGAUAAUAUUUAUGAAUAAUUUUAAAGGAAACUUCCUUAAUUUUGUUAACAAGUAGGUAUGUGUGUGGCAACAGCCAAACUUUUUCCCAACAGAUAUUAUCAAUAAAUCCAUUCCAAUAAGGCACGACAUAAGGUACAUAGAUACAACAUCCUGCUGAAACAAGGAUCGUAUCGCUCUGUUGUUGAAUGGACCAAAAGAAAAACAAAUCUUUCCUACUGAUGAGUCAACAGGGUCAACAGAAGGUAGGCUCUGAGGGUCAGGUCUUUCCUACUGAUGAGUCAACAGGGUCAAUAGAAGGUAGGCUCUGAGGGUCAGGUCUUUCCUACUGAUGAGUCAACAGGGUCAAUAGAAGGUAGGCUCUGAGGGUCAGGUCUUUCCUACUGAUGAGUCAACAGGGUCAAUAGAAGGUAGGCUCUGAGGGUCAGGUCUUUCCUACUGAUGAGUCAACAGGGUCAAUAGAAGGUAGGCUCUGAGGGUCAGGUCUUUCCUACUGAUGAGUCAACAGGGUCAAUAGAAGGUAGGCUCUGAGGGUCAGGUCUUUCCUACUGAUGAGUCAACAGGGUCAAUAGAAGGUAGGCUCUGAGGGUCAGGUCUUUCCUACUGAUGAGUCAACAGGGUCAAUAGAAGGUAGGCUCUGAGGGUCAGGUCUUUCCUACUGAUGAGUCAACAGGGUCAAUAGAAGGUAGGCUCUGAGGGUCAGGUCUUUCCUACUGAUGAGUCAACAGGGUCAAUAGAAGGUAGGCUCUGAGGGUCAGGUCUUUCCUACUGAUGAGUCAACAGGGUCAAUAGAAGGUAGGCUCUGAGGGUCAGGUCUUUCCUACUGAUGAGUCAACAGGGUCAAUAGAAGGUAGGCUCUGAGGGUCAGGUCUUUCCUACUGAUGAGUCAACAGGGUCAAUAGAAGGUAGGCUCUGAGGGUCAGGUCUUUCCUACUGAUGAGUCAACAGGGUCAAUAGAAGGUAGGCUCUGAGGGUCAGGUCUUUCCUACUGAUGAGUCAACAGGGUCAAUAGAAGGUAGGCUCUGAGGGUCAGGUCUUUCCUACUGAUGAGUCAACAGGGUCAAUAGAAGGUAGGCUCUGAGGGUCAGGUCUUUCCUACUGAUGAGUCAACAGGGUCAAUAGAAGGUAGGCUCUGAGGGUCAGGUCUUUCCUACUGAUGAGUCAACAGGGUCAACAGAAGGUAGGCUCUGAGGG